rnacentral:misc_RNA from 1 species
UUUCCGUAGGUGAACCUGCGGAAGGAUCAUUACCGAGUGUCGGGCCCUACUGGGUCCACCCUCCCACCCGUGUCUACCGUCCCUUGUUGCGUCGGCGGGCCCGCCCACUGGGGCGGCCAGGGGGCCCUCGCGCCCCCAGGUUCGCGCCCGCCGGAGACGUCCACGAGAACACUGUGUGAAAGUUGCCGUCUGAGUGGAUUUUUCCAAUCGUUAAAACUUUCAACAACGGAUCUCUUGGUUCCG